rnacentral:misc_RNA from 1 species
ACUCCAUUUGCUUUUUUCAAAUUCUUAUCGUUUUGCUUAUCAAUAGGGGGUCUCUCUAGAUGACUUUUUCCAUUAGGACUCAACUUCGAUGAUACUUCAGAGUCCAAUGCUAAGUGAGAACCUUUCUUUGAGGUGUUAGAAGAAAUGGAUUUGGUACUUGCAGAUUGGUUCCUGUCCAAUUUUCCUGACUUCUUACUCCCAGAUGAACCUGCCUUCGUAGAAGAGGAGAUACUAUGAGUGUCAUGCUCUGGCUUGUCUACC